rnacentral:rRNA from 1 species
AGCAGCCGCGGUAAUUCCAGCUCCAAUAGCGUAUAUUAAAGUUGUUGCAGUUAAAAAGCUCGUAGUUGAACUUCGGGGUCUACCCAUUGGUCAGGCUUAAUUGUCUGUACUGGUGAGAUGGAUCUCUACCUUCUGAGGAACUCUCAUGCCAUUUAUUUGGUGUGGUUGGAAAUCAGGACUGUUACUUUGAAAAAAUUAGAGUGUUUAAAGCAGACUAUCGUCUGAAUACAUUAGCAUGGAAUAAUGAAAUAGGACGGACUGAUUCUAUUUCGUUGGUUUCUAGGAUCACCGUAAUGAUUAAUAGGGAUAGUUGGGGGCAUUAGUAUUCAAUUGUCAGAGGUGAAAUUCUUGGAUUUAUUGAAGACUAACUACUGCGAAAGCAUUUGCCAAGGAUGUUUUCAUUAAUCAAGAACGAAAGUUAGGGGAUCGAAGACGAUCAGAUACCGUCGUAGUCUUAACCAUAAACUAUGCCGACUAGGGAUCGGACGAAGUUAAUUUUAUAAUGACGCGUUCGGCACCUUACG